GGGGGAGAAAAACCGAAUGGAGAAACAAAGAACAAAACCACGGAAGAUAAAGGAAGAAAAUGGAAGAGAAAAAGAAAAAGAAGGAAGGGAUAGGUUCCAAUUUUACAAGGCUAGGUUCUCAAUUUCUCAUUUUCUCCCCUUAAUUUAGAGAGGUUAGAUCGGGUCGUGUCGAAACGUGGUGAUUCGAUUAAGUGGUUGUGCCCCGUCUUGCUGGACAAAAAUCUAGAAAUUUAGCACGUAAUUUUAUUUCUUUUAAGUUUAUUGCAAUAGACAUUUAUUUAUAACCGAAUUCUCAUACAUGUUUGUUUGCACAUGAAUAUGUGUAGAUCGCACCUUAAAUAAAGUUUGAACGUUAUUUUUUU